AUUGAACGCUGGCGGCAGGCCUAACACAUGCAAGUCGAGCGGAUGAAGGGAGCUUGCUCCCUGAUUUAGCGGCGGACGGGUGAGUAAUGCCUAGGAAUCUGCCUGGUAGUGGGGGAUAACGUUCCGAAAGGAACGCUAAUACCGCAUACGUCCUACGGGAGAAAGCAGGGGACCUUCGGGCCUUGCGCUAUCAGAUGAGCCUAGGUCGGAUUAGCUAGUUGGUGAGGUAAUGGCUCACCAAGGCGACGAUCCGUAACUGGUCUGAGAGGAUGAUCAGUCACACUGGAACUGAGACACGGUCCAGACUCCUACGGGAGGCAGCAGUGGGGAAUAUUGGACAAUGGGCGAAAGCCUGAUCCAGCCAUGCCGCGUGUGUGAAGAAGGUCUUCGGAUUGUAAAGCACUUUAAGUUGGGAGGAAGGGCAUUAACCUAAUACGUUAGUGUUUUGACGUUACCGACAGAAUAAGCACCGGCUAACUUCGU
rnacentral:rRNA from 1 species